rnacentral:rRNA from 3 species
UACGAACCGUCCAAACGUUAUUCGGAAUUACUGGGCUUAAAGAGUUCGUAGGCGGUUGGGAAAGUUGGGUGUGAAAGCCCUCGGCUUAACCGAGGAAUUGCGCUCAAAACUACCUGACUAGAGGAAGAUAGAGGUGAGCAGAACUGAUGGUGGAGCGGUGAAAUGCGUUGAUAUCAUCAGGAAUACCGGAGGCGAAGGCGGCUCACUGGGUCUUUUCUGACGCUGAGGAACGAAAGCUAGGGGAGCAAACGGG